rnacentral:rRNA from 1 species
UACGAAGGGGGCUAGCGUUGCUCGGAAUCACUGGGCGUAAAGCGCACGUAGGCGGAUUGUUAAGUCAGGGGUGAAAUCCUGGAGCUCAACUCCAGAACUGCCUUUGAUACUGGCGAUCUUGAGUCCGGGAGAGGUGAGUGGAACUGCGAGUGUAGAGGUGAAAUUCGUAGAUAUUCGCAAGAACACCAGUGGCGAAGGCGGCUCACUGGCCCGGUACUGACGCUGAGGUGCGAAAGCGUGGGGAGCAAACAGGG